UUUUUUCUCCUUCAUAUUGAAUGUAGUCUAUCACUUUGAGGUUAUGAGAACCUUGUGAAUUGAUAUAAAUUAUGGCAUGCAUCUCUGAGGAGAGUGGCACGGCCAAACAUCAUCCCAGAAGCGAAUCAGCUUACCAUUGCCCAACAAAAGUCUAGCCCAAGUUCUGCCUGAAAGUCUCUCUGUACCAAAUAAUACCUUUCUAGAUGCAGGAUAUUAUAGAGGUGGGUUGGUCAAUCCAUUUUUUCCAUUGGAGAGGUACUUAGCAGCAAAAUAGAAGCACCAUGGCUUUUUUUCUUUUUUUUUCCUUUGGAAAUCUCCAUAGCCACUUCAUAAGAAGGGCUGGCUUGGUUGAAGUCCACCUCCUUCGUUAAGGUGAUUGAAAAAAUCCAGACCAUAAAAAAGAUUUCAUUUUUUGUAUGGGAUGUUAGUAAGGAUGAACAUGACGAGGUCUUAUUGCAUUACUUUUUUUUGAAUUCAAACAUAUCUAUCUCAAUCUUGUGGCAAUUUCCUCUUCAACUCAGCGCUUUAUAUUUAUAGAUAGGCAUUUUUAUUGAGAAUGCUUUAAGGUCCCACCCACCUUACCUUAAAAAAAGAAAAAAGUAGCCGAAAGAGCUCUCACAAAUAGAAUUUUAGUACCACGGAGAAAAGCUAGCUGGAUAAACAAGACAGGGAUCGCCCGCUCGGCAAUGCUACCUUGGGGAGGAGACAAAACACUUUAAUAAAACAUUAAAACUCAUAUUAAAAAGCUUUUCCGAUAUAUGAACAAGAUUACUAUAGAAGAGUUGGUGAACAUUGUUUUGACUCAUAGCUCUAAGAUGACUAGCAUGAAUGAGCCAGCUUCAACACCACCUAGACUCUUAAUCAUAGACAGACUUGCACUGACCUCAACAUAAAAGGAUGAACCUGGUCUGUCUAUUUGUACGCAUUGGCUUAACUCACUCCCCUAGACACUGCAAAGAAAAGAACACAUAAUGAAAACAGCCUGGUAAGGGCUGUACAAGGGAACGAGAAAGGGGUUUGAUAAGAAAGAGUUUUGGAAUGUCCCGCUUAGUUAACAAACAUUGAGUUUAGAGUCGGGGCAGCAUGGAUACGAGACUAUUGAAGUGAAGUUUGGAAUCAUUGUGGUUUUCUAUCUUCAGAUUACCAAAUCACCAAGGCCUUUCAGCGAUUCGACGCGCGCCCCCCCUAAGCUAGACGACCUGACCUCAGAGAGAAUAGAAUGAGUCGCCCUAGCCUUAGUCUUACUAAGAGUUUGAAUUGCUCUGUAGGAUAGUAGGGCGAAUGAAUUGCAUUAGUGUUGGCUAGCUGAAUCGCCCAGCGAACAAAUCGCCUCCUUGCUAUCUUAAAAAAAAAGCGGACCCGCGCGAAUCGCGUCUUCGAUCUUGCAUAUAUGCAUUAUAAAUUUAAUAUAUAUAUUUCUUUAUCAACCAGGUCAACUGACGCCAGCAUCACCACUACGGAAACGAAAUUUCCUUAGUCCUUUUUCUGUGAAACAAAGCCAAGCCUUUUCCGCCUUCCACUUUGGUUGGACGGUAGUUCCGGGAGCCAGUAGCGGUAACAGGUCGAGGGAUAUCAAAGAGAAGGUGCAGUUAGUCAAGCCUACAGUUCGAAUACCGCGGUUAGUCAGUACGGCAAGUAGAAAGGCAAAACAAAAAUUCCUUACUCUUUGUAGAAAGGAAAAGAAGUAAGCUAGACGAUUACUUUCUGUCAUAGGAAGUAGGCACCAGUACCAGUUCCGGUAGUGGUUACGGUAAGACUGCUUUGAAAAGAGAAAAAACUCCUUGCUUCAUUCUUUUUUGUAUAAGUUGGCUUAGGGAAAUACAGAGACAGAAGGUAGGUCGGCUAGUCUGGUGCCGAAGUGCACUUGGGAAAAAAGGGAAGCUUGGCUUAGAGAGUAGCUUUGCUUAGAGAAUAAAUCCGUCUUUCUUCCGUCACGGUAAGCGGGUUCUUUCUAGGACUGAUAGUUCAGUUCAAGCGUAUCAUAGAUCAAACUCUUUCAAGCCUUUUAAGUCAAGCUUGUUGUAAGGCUAAAGCCCCUUUACUAGUAGAGGCAGAACGAAAAAUCGGAAAGCAGUCAGUCUUUUCGGUAAGUCAGUGUUGCAAGUCUUAUGGUCCGAACAGAGUACAGAGCCGGCACUCCCGGAAGCCUGUGGGGAAUGGGGAAGGAAGACCAGACAGAGCUUGAGCCUGAGAGAAGGAAGGAAUACCGCUAAAACCGAGACUCCAAGACUCAGGUCAAGGAGAUCAGAUAGACGAAAAGUACUUUCCCUCGUAUGGAGAACAAAUCCUAUCUCUUAUCUCUCUAGUUCCGGAACUCUUGGUAAGCUAAGUUUCUUUGAAUAUACCUUUCAAGAAAAGACCUUUCUUUUAUUUUACGCCUUAUUAGUUAUGAAAGCAGAACCCAACUUGAUCGAUUCAGUGCUUGGAUUAGGUCCGGGUAGAGAACAGGUAAGGGCGGUAGGCUUUUCACUUUAGCCCUUGUUAUUCAAGGCCUUACUCGUUUAAAGCUUUUUUUAUCCCCUCUUUCUUUCUAGUUAGGGAGACCGUAGAUGAAAGCCUCUUCAGUAAACUCUUUCCGCUUCCGCUUCUGAAUCUGGAUGGCGGCUUUGGUUGGAAAAGAGAGUGUUUCAGUUACGGUUUAGGGCUAGUGAGUUACUAUACGUUCGUGAAGGCAGACAGGCGCUCGUAGACAGAAAACCGUUUUCGCAGAGCGACUUAGAGAAAACUAAGCACUUCUUGUUUCGAAAAGCGAUGCGUACAGUUCCGGGAGUAAAGGAAACCUUCUCUCUCUUGCUUUCGGGCCUACGUCUCUCUUUCAAGGGUUCCAGUUUCUUUGGUAGCUUUGGGCAAGGCAGUACUGGUACUCAGUCGAUCUUGCUCUAGCCGCUUUCGGCUUAAGUAAGGGAAGGUUUACUUUUCCUUUCCGUGAAGUUUUUGUUCCAGGCCCCCUUCUUAGUCAAUGGACUGAUAGUUGAAGGGACGGGAUCAUGACUUUGACUUAUAGGUAAACCUGUAAGUGAAGGAAGGAACAGCUGUAAGUUAAGGUUUCAAUGGAGUUGAACCUGCACCCGAACCAGAGGAGGGACCGAAGAGAGCCAGUAACGGUACUGGGGCAGGAGGAAGAGCAUUAAAGAAUAUAGCAGGUAGCGGGUAGGCGUCACCUAAGAGAGCCGGCACUCGAAGAAAAACCAGUAGUUCAGUUUCGGUACUCAAGUUCCAGCGCUCGUAGAAAGAGGUAGGUUCGUCAGUUUAGCCCCGUUUUUUAAGGUUUAGGGAAGGCUGGUGGGGACUAGAAUCGGUAAGAGGUCAAACUAGAGGUAUGACUAGAACUAGGAGCGACUUCCCCCUGUUGAAAAGAGGUUACCUGUUGAGAGAGUAGCUGUUCUUGCUUGCUCCUAAAGGACGAAUAAGCUUGACUUGCUUGGAUUGCUACCAAAGCUUCCCCAUAUUACAGGGAUGAUUACCACUGACAUUUGACAUUGUCUUCACUUCAUUCUUUGACUGCUGGAGGCUUGAGGCAGAGCUUUCUCUUUCCCUAGCUCCAGAACUAGUUGUGAACUUUAGCAGGUACAGGUACUAGAACUAGAACGCUGUAAACUCAUACUGUAACUCUCACUGGCACUGGCUGGGACUUUCCUGUUCCCUUUUUCCGUUACUUCUCGCGGAGAAUGGGCACAAAAAAAUUAGGUUCCGUGGUUCGAACAAUUUCCCUGGAUUCCUUUUCCUAUGCUCAUUAGUGUGAGCCCUGGCCAAUACUAAAUCCUAAACGAGUCGAGUCAGGUUCUAAUCUAAAAGCGAAAAGGCUGUUUUCCCUUUCUUGCUGGGGAAGAGGUUGGGGAGCCCCAGAGUCUUCCUCCAACUCAGCUUUCAAGGAAUCCAACGAUCCCUCCUAAAUAAACUCCCACUAACAAACUAACCUUCGGAAUCCUAUGUUCAAGUCAAGAAUCGAAAUUACAACAACUAAAAAAGC
rnacentral:lncRNA from 1 species